UAUGGGUAGGUUCUUAACUAAUUAUUUCUCAACCAAUUUCUAGUAUUUAAUUUAGCCCCAGAUUUUAUUACAAUAGGCGAUGGGCCUCUACUGAAAGUUUUGGUUAGGUCAAACUAUUAACAUGAACUUACUCAGUGAUUCUAUCUAAUGAGUGAUCAAGCUUGAAGAUGGCUCGAUUAACCCAACCAUCAUCAGAUAGUUCAUCAGAGUCAUCAUAUGAUGAAUGAUAAUUUCAUCAUUCAGAGAGAACAUC
rnacentral:lncRNA from 1 species